CACGUAGGGUGCGAGCGUUGUCCGGAAUUAUUGGGCGUAAAGAGCUCGUAGGCGGUGUGUCGCGUCGGCCGUGAAAACCUGCAGCUUAACUGUGGGCUUGCGGUCGAUACGGGCAUCACUGGAGUUCGGCAGGGGAGACUGGAAUUCCUGGUGUAGCGGUGAAAUGCGCAGAUAUCAGGAGGAAGACCAGUGGCGAAGGCGGGGUCUCUGGACAGUUCCUGACACUGAGAACACGAAGGCC
rnacentral:rRNA from 1 species